GACGAACGCUGGCGGCGUGCCUAAUACAUGCAAGUUGAGCGCUGAAGGUUGGUACUUGUACCAACUGGAUGAGCAGCGAACGGGUGAGUAACGCGUGGGGAAUCUGCCUUUGAGCGGGGGACAACAUUUGGAAACGAAUGCUAAUACCGCAUAAAAACUUUAAACACAAGUUUUAAGUUUGAAAGAUUCAAUUGCAUCACUCAAAGAUGAUCCCGCGUUGUAUUAGCUAGUUGGUGAGGUAAAGGCUCACCAAGGCGAUGAUACAUAGCCGACCUGAGAGGGUGAUCGGCAACAUUGGGACUGAGACACGGCCCAAACUCCGACGGGAGGCAGCAGUAGGGAAUCUUCGGCAAUGGACGAAAGUCUGACCGAGCAACGCCGCGUGAGUGAAGAAGGUUUUCGGAUCGUAAAACUCUGUUGGUAGAGAAGAACGUUGGUGAGAGUGGAAAGCUCAUCAAGUGACGGUAACUACCCAGAAAGGGACGGCUAACUACGUG
rnacentral:rRNA from 1 species